UCAACGGCCCUCUUCAGGGCCACAUAAUACGAAUACCGAGUAUGUG
rfam:Haemonchus placei strain MHpl1 genome assembly, scaffold: HPLM_scaffold0000436